AAGGAAAAUAUAAUGUUAAAACCCACUUUACUGCAUCAUAAAUUAAGACAAUAAGAACACACAUAUAUCUGUCAAACUAUACAUCUCUCUUCCCAUUGUUAUAUUCAUAAAAUUUUACCCCUGUGCAGCAAAUUCCUUGUUAUCUAGCAUGUAUGGCAAAGGGAAUGUCCUAGCCAUAUGAAUCUGUUACGUAAGAAAAACUUGCAGAAAGUCAAAACAACAUAAUUCCUCCUUAAUUCUUGCAUAAGUCCUCUUACUUGUCAUAGCAAUUAUAUGAGUGAAAAACUGCUGAUAUACCUGUACUGUAAUGUGAUUACAGAUUCAACUAGGCAUCUAAGGAAGAUGGGUAGUACUCCUAGUGGUGGAUGCAAGAAUUAACACAUGGUUAUUUCCAAAUUUAUGCAAUAUAUGACAAACAAAUUCCAGGACUGAGUCCAUUACAUGCAUUUAAAAGAAUGUAGGAAGAUAUUUCAAUUUGUCUAUGACACCCCUCCCCCCGCCAGUGGUUAUGUAACGCUAUCGGAUCACUGUCGUUACUAAGGUAACAGGCGAGUCAACACUCCUUCGCCUACACUGCCGGCGGUGACGUCACCAAGGGAUACCGCGGUUGCUAGGCAGCAGUAAACAACUCCCGACAGCGUUGCUAGCA